GCGGGUAUGGCGGAAUUGGCAGACGCGUAUGAUUCAGGUUCAUAUGUCAUAAAAGGCAUGCAAGUUCAAAUCUUGUUACCCGCA
rnacentral:tRNA from 1 species